rnacentral:rRNA from 1 species
GAUGAACGCUGACAGAAUGCUUAACACAUGCAAGUCAACUGUGGCGGACGGGUGAGUAACGCGUAAAGAACUUGCCGCACAGAUAGGGACAACAUUUGGAAACGAAUGCUAAUACCUGACACUGUGAGAGAGCUUUGCGUCCCAUGAGCUAGUUGGAGAGGUAACGGCCCACCAAGGCGAUGAUGGGUAGCCGGCCUGGGAGGGUGAUCGGCCACAAGGGGACCGGUGCAGCGCCCGUAGUCCAUCGUGAGCAAGCGGUGGGGAAUUUUGGGCGAUGGGCCACAGUCUGAACCAGCUAUUCUGUGUGUACGAUGAAGUUUUCGUAAUGAAAAGUGCUUUCAGUUGGGAAGCGGUAUCAACAGAGGAAGUGACGGCUAAAUACGUGCCAGCAGCCGCGGUAAUAC